rnacentral:rRNA from 1 species
UAAGGAAUAUUGGUCAAUGGACGAAAGUCUGAACCAGCCAUGCCGCGUGGAGGAUGAAGGUCCUCUGGAUUGUAAACUUCUUUUAUUUGGGACGAAAAAGGGGAAUUCUUUCCCAACUGACGGUACCAGAUGAAUAAGCACCGGCUAACUCCGUGCCAGCAGCCGCGGUAAUACGGAGGGUGCAAGCGUUAUCCGGAUUCACUGGGUUUAAAGGGUGCGUAGGCGGAUAGGUAAGUCCGUGGUGAAAUCCUGCAGCUUAACUGCAGAACUGCCAUGGAUACUAUUUAUCUUGAAUAUCGUGGAGGUUAGCGGAAUAUGUCAUGUAGCGGUGAAAUGCUUAGAUAUGACAUAGAACACCCAUUGCGAAGGCAGCUAACUACGCGAUCAUUGACGCUGAUGCACGAAAGCGUGGGGAUCAAACAG